rnacentral:misc_RNA from 1 species
GAUGAAGAACGCAGCGAAAUGCGAUACUUGGUGUGAAUUGCAGAAUUCAGUGAAUCAUCGAAUCUUUGAACGCACAUUGCGCCCCCUGGUAUUCCGGGGGGCAUGCCUGUUCGAGCGUCAUUUCACCACUCAAGCCUCGCUUGGUAUUGGGCAACGCGGUCCGCCGCGUGCCUCAAAUCGACCGGCUGGGUCUUCUGUCCCCUAAGCGUUGUGGAAACUAUUCGCUAAAGGGUGUUCGGGAGGCUACGCCGUAAAACAACCCCAUUUCUAAGGUUGACCUCGGAUCAGGUAGGGAUACCCGCUGAACUUAAGCAUAUCAAUAAGCGGAGGA